UACAGAGACCUCAAGCGUUAUCCGGAAUUAUUGGGCGUAAAGCGUGCCGAUAGGUUGUUUUGAAAGUUUUGGGUAAAAGCCAGAAGCUCAACUUCUGCGUUUGCUCAAAAUACUGCAAGACUAGAGGGGCAAAGAGGUGCUUGGAACGAAUGGUGUAGUAGUGAAAUGCGUUGAUAUCAUUCGGAACACCGAAAGCGAAGGCAGAGCACUGGGUGCCACCUGACACUGCUAGGACGAGAGCGUGGGUAGCGAAUGGG
rnacentral:rRNA from 1 species